AAGAAGGGAGGACUUUAAGAGGAAGGAUGGACUCACCUGAAGUGCUUGAGCCCCCCACACCACAACACACAUGGCAAAAAGUGAAACACACAGACACACACCGUCCAAUGUCUAAAACUGUGCUGAGAGCCCCCCUCCCCCUCCCUGUGCAUCCAGUGGUUUGCUCACCCUGGUGAAACAAUGUAAAUAGCUCUGUGGACUCUUGUACCAUAUCUCUGUAAAUAGGGGGGUCCGAAAAGUGCCUGAUCUAUGUAAGCAUCGUCCCGUGGUAAUGUAAAAGGCCUGCUCACUGUGGAAGCUGUUUGCUCACUGGUUGACCUCUGACCUCCUGCUCGUAUGAGACCUGGAUCCAGUUAUUACUUAAAACAGUCAGCUGCCUUGAUGAACCAAUGAGGCCUGAACCACAGGUGUGAACGUAACCCCUCCUGCACCGCAGGCUGAAAACCAAGCACUAGUGUAACUAAAGAGCUGUGAGCAGGCCUGCUCUAUUUAACAUUUGAACUGUGCAACCGAACAGUUUCAACGAGGAAUGUGUCUCUUCACCAUGCCCCUGAAUACAACAUGAACUUAUUUAUUUUAUAUUGUGUUGCUUUUAUAACCAAUAAAUCUGUAAUGAGACAAUGAAA